UCCUGGCUCAGAUUGAACGCUGGCGGCAUGCCUAACACAUGCAAGUCGAACGGCAGCACAGCAGUAGCAAUACUGUGGGUGGCGAGUGGCGGACGGGUGAGUAAUGCAUCGGGACCUACCCAGACGUGGGGGAUAACGUAGGGAAACUUACGCUAAUACCGCAUACGUCCUACGGGAGAAAGCGGGGGACCUUCGGGCCUCGCGCGGUUGGACGGACCGAUGUGCGAUUAGCUAGUUGGUAGGGUAAUGGCCUACCAAGGCGACGAUCGCUAGCUGGUCUGAGAGGAUGAUCAGCCACACUGGAACUGAGACACGGUCCAGACUCCUACGGGAGGCAGCAGUGGGGAAUAUUGGACAAUGGGCGCAAGCCUGAUCCAGCAAUGCCGCGUGUGUGAAGAAGGCCUUCGGGUUGUAAAGCACUUUUAUCAGGAGCGAAAUACUGUCGGUUAAUAACCGGCGGGGCUGACGGUACCUGAGGAAUAAGCAC
rnacentral:rRNA from 1 species